CGCUGGCGGCGUGCCUAACACAUGCAAGUCGAGCGAAUGAAGUUCCUUCGGGAACGGAUUUAGCGGCGGACGGGUGAGUAACACGUGGGCAACCUGCCUCAUAGAGGGGAAUAGCCUUCCGAAAGGGAGAUUAAUACCGCAUAAGAUUAUAGUACCGCAUGGUACAGCAAUUAAAGGAGCAAUCCGCUAUGAGAUGGGCCCGCGGCGCAUUAGCUAGUUGGUGAGGUAACGGCUCACCAAGGCGACGAUGCGUAGCCGACCUGAGAGGGUGAUCGGCCACAUUGGGACUGAGACACGGCCCAGACUCCUACGGGAGGCAGCAGUGGGAAUAUUGCACAAUGGGGAAACCCUGAUGCAGCAACGCCGCGUGAGUGAUGACGGCCUUCGGGUUGUAAAGCUCUGUCUUCAGGGACGAUAAUGACGGUACCUGAGGAGGAAGCCACGGCUAACUACGUG
rnacentral:rRNA from 1 species